rnacentral:rRNA from 1 species
CCUACGGGAGGCAGCAGUGGGGAAUAUUGCACAAUGGGGGAAACCCUGAUGCAGCGACGCCGCGUGAGCGAAGAAGUAUUUCGGUAUGUAAAGCUCUAUUAGCCGGGGAGAAAAUGACGGUACCUGACUAAUAAGCUCCGGCUAAAUACGUGCCAGCAGCCGCGGUAAUACGGAUGGAGCAAGCGGUAUCCGGAUUUACUGGGUGUAAAGGGAGCGUAGGCGGUAAGGCAAGUCUGAUGUGAAAGGUGAGGGCUCAACCCUGGGACUGCAUUGGAAACUGUUUAACGGGAGUGUCGGAGAGGCAAGUGGAAUGCGUGGUGUAGCGGUGAAAUGCAUAGAUAUUAGGAGGAACACCAGUGGCGAAGGCGGCUUGCUGGACGAUGACUGACGCUGAGGCUCGAAAGCGUGGGGAGCAAACAGGAUUAGAUACCCGGGUAGUC